UGAGUAACACGUGGGCAACCUACCCAGAAGACCGGGAUAACGGCUCGAAAGGGCCGCUAAUACCGGAUAAUGUCGGGGUACCGCAUGGUACUCCGAAGAAAGGGGAAACCCGCUUUUGGAUGGGCCCGCGUCCCAUCAGCUAGUUGGUGAGGUAACGGCUCACCAAGGCGACGACGGGUAGCCGGUCUGAGAGGAUGGUCGGCCACACUGGGACUGAGACACGGCCCAGACUCCUACGGGAGGCAGCAGUUGGGAAUCUUGGGCAAUGGGCGAAAGCCUGACCCAGCGACGCCGCGUGAGGGAAGAAGGCCUUCGGGUCGUAAACCUCUGUCAUGGGGGAAGAAGCAAGUGACGGUACCCCAAGAGGAAGCCCCUGCUAACUACGUGCCAGCAGCCGCGGUAAUACGUAGGGGGCGAGCGUUGUCCGGAUUUACUGGGCGUAAAGGGCGAGUAGGCGGUCUGUUAAGUCAGGUGUGAA
rnacentral:rRNA from 1 species